rnacentral:rRNA from 1 species
AACGAACGUUAGCGGCGCGCUUAACACAUGCAAGUCGAACGAGAAAGGGCUUCGGCCCCGGUAAAGUGGCGCACGGGUGAGUAACACGUGGGUAACCUUCCCUGAAGUGGGGGAUAACAUUCCGAAAGGAGUGCUAAUACCGCAUGAGACCACGGUUCCGAAAGGAGCUGAGGUCAAAGCAGGCCUCUGUACACAAGCUUGCGCUUCAGGAUGGGCCCGCGUCCCAUCAGCUAGUUGGCAGGGUAACGGCCUACCAAGGCAAAGACGGGUAGCUGGUCUGAGAGGAUGAUCAGCCACACUGGAACUGAGACACGGUCCAGACUCCUACGGGAGGCAG